rnacentral:rRNA from 1 species
GACGAACGCUGGCGGCGUGCUUAACACAUGCAAGUCGAACGGUAAGGCCCUGCUUUUGUGCGGUGCUCGAGUGGCGAACGGGUGAGUAACACGUGAGUAACCUGCCCUUGACUUUGGGAUAACUUCUGGAAACUGGGGCUAAUACCGGAUAGGAGCACCUGCUGCAUGGUAUGGGCUGGAAAGUUUCGGUGGCUUGGGUAGGACUUGCGGCUUAUCUGCUUGUUGGUGGGGUAGGGGCUAACAAAGGCCUUGACGGGUAGCCGGCCUGGGAGGGUGACCGGCCACAUUGGGACUGAGGUACGGCCCAGACGCCUUCGGGAGGCAGCAGUGGGGGAUAGUGCACAAUGGGCGGAAGCCGGAAGCAGGAACGCCGGGUGGGAGAGGACGGCCUUCGGGGUGGAAACCGCUUUAGCCUGGGACGAAGCGUGAGUGACGGUAAUGGGUAAAGAAGCACCGGCUAACUACGUG